CAGAGGUGGCAAGCGUUGUUCGGAAUUACUGGGCGUAAAGGGCGCGUAGGCGGCCUUCUAAGUCAGACGUGAAAUCCCCCGGCUUAACCUGGGAACUGCGUCUGAUACUGGGAGGCUUGAGUAUGGGAGAGGGAUGUAGAAUUCCAGGUGUAGCGGUGAAAUGCGUAGAUAUCUGGAGGAAUACCGGUGGCGAAGGCGGCAUCCUGGACCAUUACUGACGCUGAGGCGCGAAAGCUAGGGGAGCAAACGGGAUUAGAUACCCCGGUAGUCCUAGCCCUAAACGAUGAAUGCUUGGUGUGGCGGGUAUCGAUCCCUGCCGUGCCGAAGCUAACGCAUUAAGCAUUCCGCCUGGGGAGUACGGUCGCAAGGCUG
rnacentral:rRNA from 1 species